rnacentral:rRNA from 1 species
AUUGAACGCUGGCGGCAGGCCUAACACAUGCAAGUCGAACGGUAACAGGAAGAAGCUUGCUUCUUUGCUGACGAGUGGCGGACGGGUGAGUAAUGUCUGGGAAACUGCCUGAUGGAGGGGGAUAACUACUGGAAACGGUAGCUAAUACCGCAUAACGUCGCAAGACCAAAGAGGGGGACCUUCGGGCCUCUUGCCAUCGGAUGUGCCCAGAUGGGAUUAGCUAGUAGGUGGGGUAACGGCUCACCUAGGCGACGAUCCCUAGCUGGUCUGAGAGGAUGACCAGCCACACUGGAACUGAGACACGGUCCAGACUCCUACGGGAGGCAGCAGUGGGGAAUAUUGGACAAUGGGCGCAAGCCUGAUGCAGCCAUGCCGCGUGUAUGAAGAAGGCCUUCGGGUUGUAAAGUACUUUCAGCGGGGAGGAAGGGAGUAAAGUUAAUACCUUGGCUGAUUGACGUUACCCGCAGAAGAAGCACCGGCUAACUCCGUG